rnacentral:rRNA from 4 species
AACUUUCAGCAACGGAUCUCUUGGUUCUCGCAUCGAUGAAGAACGUAGCAAACUGCGAUACUUAAUGUGAAUUGCAAAUUCAGUGAAUCAUCGAGUCUUUGAACGCACAUUGCGCUCACUGGUAUUCCAGUGAGCACGCCUGUUUCAGCAUCA